AUUGAACGCUGGCGGCAGGCUUAACACAUGCAAGUCGAGCGGAGAUGAGGUGCUUGCACCUUAUCUUAGCGGCGGACGGGUGAGUAAUGCUUAGGAAUCUGCCUAUUAGUGGGGGACAACAUUCCGAAAGGAAUGCUAAUACCGCAUACGUCCUACGGGAGAAAGCAGGGGAUCUUCGGACCUUGCGCUAAUAGAUGAGCCUAAGUCGGAUUAGCUAGUUGGUGGGGUAAAGGCCUACCAAGGCGACGAUCUGUAGCGGGUCUGAGAGGAUGAUCCGCCACACUGGGACUGAGAGACGGCCCAGACUCCUACGGGAGGCAGCAGUGGGGAAUAUUGGACAAUGGGGGGAACCCGGAUCCAGCCAUGCCGCGUGUGUGAAGAAGGCCUUAUGGUUGUAAAGCACUUUAAGCGAGGAGGAGGCUACUGAGACUAAUACUCUUGGAUAGUGGACGUUACUCGCAGAAUAAGCACCGGCUAACUCUGUGCCAGCAGCCGCGGUAACAC
rnacentral:rRNA from 1 species